rnacentral:rRNA from 1 species
GAUGAACGCUAGCUACAGGCUUAACACAUGCAAGUCGAGGGGAAACGGCAUUUAGUGCUUGCACUGAAUGGACGUCGACCGGCGCACGGGUGAGUAACGCGUAUCCAACCUACCCAUUACUGUGGGAUAACCUGCCGAAAGGCAGACUAAUACCGCAUAGUCUUCGAUGACGGCAUCAGAUUUGAAGUAAAGAUUUAUCGGUAAUGGAUGGGGAUGCGUCUGAUUAGCUUGUUGGCGGGGUAACGGCCCACCAAGGCGACGAUCAGUAGGGGUUCUGAGAGGAAGGUCCCCCACAUUGGAACUGAGACACGGUCCAAACUCCUACGGGAGGCAGCAGUGAGGAAUAUUGGUCAAUGGGCGCGAGCCUGAACCAGCCAAGUAGCGUGCAGGAUGACGGCCCUAUGGGUUGUAAACUGCUUUUGUAUGGGGAUAAAGUCAAUCACGUGUGAUUGUUUGCAGGUACCAUACGAAUAAGGACCGGCUAAUUCCGUGCCAGCAGCCGCGGUAAUACGGAAGGUCCGGGCGUUAUCCGGAUUUAUUGGGUUUAAAGGGAGCGUAGGCCGGAGAUUAAGUGUGUUGUGAAAUGUAGACGCUCAACGUCUGACUUGCAGCGCAUACUGGUUUCCUUGAGUACGCACAACGUUGGCGGAACUCGUCGUGUAGCGGUGAAAUGCUUAGAUAUGACGAAGAACUCCGAUUGCGAAGGCAGCUGACGGGAGCGCAACUGACGCUUAAGCUCGAAGGUGCGGGUAUCGAACAGG